UCGUGAGGAACUAGAAGCAUUAGCUGAUCCAAUGAAGAAAGAUGUUCAAACGGUUCGUAAGAGGAUUGAUGCUGUCAACAAAGAGUUGAAACCCCUGGGACAGACCUGCCAGAAGAAGGAAAAAGAGUACAAAGAAGCUCUUGAGGCCUUCAAUGAAAAACACAAGGAAAAAGUCCAGCUAAUAUCAAGAUUGAUGGAGCUGGUG
rnacentral:misc_RNA from 1 species